AUUGAACGCUGGCGGCAUGCCUUACACAUGCAAGUCGAACGGCAGCACGGGAGCAAUCCUGGUGGCGAGUGGCGAACGGGUGAGUAAAGUAUCGGAACGUGCCCAGUCGUGGGGGAUAACGUAGCGAAAGUUACGCUAAUACCGCAUACGAUCUAUGGAUGAGAGCGGGGGAUCGCAAGACCUCGCGCGAUUGGAGCGGCCGAUAUCAGAUUAGGUAGUUGGUGGGGUAAAGGCGCACCAAGCCGACGAUCUGUAGCUGGUCUGAGAGGACGACCAGCCACACUGGGACUGAGGCACGGCCCAGACUCCUACGGGAGGCAGCAGUGUGGAAUGUUGGAAAAUGGGCGAAAGCCUGAUCCAGCCAUGCCGCGUGCAGGAUGAAGGCCCUCGGGUUGUAAACUGCUUUUGUACAGAACGAAAAGGUUUCUACUAAUACUAGGAGCUCAUGACGGUACUGUAAGAAUAAGCACCGGCUAACUACGUGCCAGCCGCCGCAGUAA
rnacentral:rRNA from 1 species